GACGACGCUGGCGGCGUGCUUAACACAUGCAAGUUGGACGGUGCGACAUGGAAGCUUGCUGAAGUGUCGUACAGUAGCGAACGGGUGAGUAAUGCAUGAGAAUCUGCCCUUUGGAGGGGGACAACAGCUGGAAACGGCUGCUAAUACCCCGUAAGCCGGGAGGUGAAAGGUACGCGAGUACUGCCGGGGGAUGAGCUCAUGUCCUAUCAGCUGGUUGGCGGGGUAACGGCCCACCAAGGCGACGACGGGUAGCCGGCCUGAGAGGGCGGACGGCCACAUUGGGACUGAGACACGGCCCAAACUCCUACGGGAGGCAGCAGUGGGGGAUAUUGCACAAUGGGGGAAACCCUGAUGCAGCGACGCCGCGUGAGUGAGGAAGGUUUUCGGACCGUAAAGCUCUGUCGAGCGGGAAGAAAUGUAUCAUGGCUAAUAUCCAUGAUACUUGACGGUACCGCUAAAGGAAGCCCCGGCUAACUACGUG
rnacentral:rRNA from 1 species